CGACAGUUUGCGAAUAGUAGUGCAUAAUGUUGGAAAGAAAGUGAAUUUUGUGCAUCGUUUCGCAGCAUAAGUGCAAUAUAGUUUCAAGAUCUGCUUGGACAACCUUAGGAUCACUGUCGAUGGAUAUUACGUUGCUUGCUACGAAAGAGUUGGGAUUGUUGCGAUACAAGAGCGUGACUUUCGACCGAACCGAAAGAGAUUAGGAAAUCUCUAAAUCGACGAAGUGACCACGCCGUGGAGGGACGAAGCUGAUUUUCCGAAAAGUGGACGAAAAGUGGACGGUCAUGAAGUUUGGGAUCACAAGCCCUCUUAAAGGCAAAU